GCCCUGGUAGCUUAAACUAAAGCACUGGUCUUGUAAGCCAGAGACUGCAGUCUAACCUCUGCCCAAGGCU
rnacentral:tRNA from 1 species